AGAGUUUGAUCCUGGCUCAGGACGAACGCUGGCGGCGUGCCUAAUACAUGCAAGUCGAGCGGACCAAAGGGAGCUUGCUCCUGGAGGUUAGCGGCGGACGGGUGAGUAACACGUGGGCAACCUGCCCUGUAGACUGGGAUAACAUCGAGAAAUCGGUGCUAAUACCGGAUAAUAGAUGGAACUGCAUAGUUCUAUUUUAAAAGAUGGUUUCGGCUAUCACUACAGGAUGGGCCCGCGGCGCAUUAGCUAGUUGGUAAGGUAACGGCUUACCAAGGCGACGAUGCGUAGCCGACCUGAGAGGGUGAUCGGCCACACUGGGACUGAGACACGGCCCAGACUCCUACGGGAGGCAGCAGUAGGGAAUCUUCCGCAAUGGACGAAAGUCUGACGGAGCAACGCCGCGUGAGUGAUGAAGGGUUUCGGCUCGUAAAGCUCUGUUGUUAGGGAAGAACAAGUGCCUGAGUAACUGCAGGCACCUUGACGGUACCUAACCAGAAAGCCACGGCUAACUACGUGCCAGCAGCCGCGGUAAUACGUAGGUGGCAAGCGUUGUCCGGAAUUAUUGGGCGUAAAGCGCGCGCAGGCGGUCUCUUAAGUCUGAUGUGAAAGCCCCCGGCUCAACCGGGGAGGGCCAUUGGAAACUGGGAGACUUGAGUACAGAAGAGGAGAGUGGAAUUCCAGGUGUAGCGGUGAAAUGCGUAGAGAUCUGGAGGAAUACCGGUGGCGAAGGCGGCCCCCUGGACGAAGACUGACGCUCAGGUGCGAAAGCGUGGGGAGCAAACAGGAUUAGAUACCCUGGUAGUCCACGCCGUAAACGAUGUCGACUUGGAGGUUGUGCCCUUGAGGCGUGGCUUCCGGAGCUAACGCGUUAAGUCGACCGCCUGGGGAGUACGGCCGCAAGGUUAAAACUCAAAUGAAUUGACGGGGGCCCGCACAAGCGGUGGAGCAUGUGGUUUAAUUCGAUGCAACGCGAAGAACCUUACCUGGUCUUGACAUCCACGGAAGUUUUCAGAGAUGAGAAUGUGCCUUCGGGAACCGUGAGACAGGUGCUGCAUGGCUGUCGUCAGCUCGUGUUGUGAAAUGUUGGGUUAAGUCCCGCAACGAGCGCAACCCUUAUCCUUUGUUGCCAGCGGUCCGGCCGGGAACUCAAAGGAGACUGCCAGUGAUAAACUGGAGGAAGGUGGGGAUGACGUCAAGUCAUCAUGGCCCUUACGACCAGGGCUACACACGUGCUACAAUGGCGCAUACAAAGAGAAGCGACCUCGCGAGAGCAAGCGGACCUCAUAAAGAGCGUCGUAGUCCGGAUUGGAGUCUGCAACUCGACUCCAUGAAGUCGGAAUCGCUAGUAAUCGUGGAUCAGAAUGCCACGGUGAAUACGUUCCCGGGCCUUGUACACACCGCCCGUCACACCAUGGGAGUGGGUUGCAAAAGAAGUAGGUAGCUUAACCUUCGGGAGGGCGCUUACCACUUUGUGAUUCAUGACUGGGGUGAAGUCGUAACAAGGUAACCGUA
rnacentral:rRNA from 1 species